GAUGAGAGAGAGAGAGAGAGAGAGGAGAGAGAAUUGGAACUGGCGUACUAUAGUAGCAAAAUAAACCAUUAUUGCUUAACGCCAGUUUUUUAGCCUUUUGAUGCAACUCUUCCAUUUAUUUCUAACACAAUGGAUAAAUACUAAUAAACCCAGUGGAGUACUACUCAAACACCCUAGGGACCACUCAACUCUAAACCGAUCUAAUAUCACCCCGACCUAUCAUUUUCUCAUCAGAAGUUAAAACUUGAUAGCAAAAAGAUAGUUUUACUAUUAAUAGUAUUCCAGCCUUAAUUCUAUAUAAUAAUAGUAUAUAAUAUAUACAUAUAUACCUUUUUAUAUAUAUAUAAUAUAUAUAUACCUAUCUUUGAUUAAUCCACGACACAAUAAAUAUAAAAAAUAGAAUAUUAGAUCAUGAAAAUCUCUCUCUCAUAGAGAGAGAGAGACUCUUAUAUUUUUCUCCAAUUUAGGAUACAAUAAUGAAGCUCUACACUCAAAAUAAUAAAUUACAAGGGUUUGAAAUCCUAAAACCCAAUUCUAGUAGGAAAUAAUUUUCGUUGUACUUCUGUGUCUUCGAUUCAUUUCCAGUUGUCAAUCUUCUCUUGAAAGCUCUCUUCAAAAUGUUUCUAAACCAUCUCUAAGUUUAAAGCACAAGAUUAAAUCAAGUUGGAGUUGAAUCCAGCUUACCCAGUCCACCACGGCCUCGAGUGCCGAUACUAAAUAUAUGAAUGCCAGUACUAUCAACGUCCCCUAACGUAUGCAGUAUUGGUACUCCAAAUUGAGAACUGAUACUCAAUAUAAAUUUCAGGUUUUAAAAUUUUUAGUUAUGAGGGACUUUAGCCUGCGAACCAGUACUGAAUAGUGAGUGUCGGUACUUGACAUCCAGCUGAUUUAAAAUUUUUUAUUUUUCAUGUACUGAAAUAUUAAUUCAGAACGUGUCUUCGCAUAAUCCAACAACACUUAUAUGAAAAUCGACAUUUCAACUUCAAUAAGGUAGGAGGUUGAAGUCGAGUUCGUGGAACUUACAAUUUGUGAGGACACUAAAGGGUGCCAUCAUGCUACUCUUCUGAAGAGGCACUUGGUGAGUUGGAGUUGAUAGGCUGCGUUUAUAUGAUCGUUGGUGAAGUGAAGUGUGCGGGUGAAAAAUAUGCGGAGGAUUUAUUUGAAAGUUUCGAAAAGCAUGACUUGAGAGCUCAUUUUGAUUGUAAGUUACAUUUGCUCGCUCAACUCUCGUCCUAGAAUACUUAACUUUUUUAAUUUUCUGGGCAUAGCCAUCAUCAAAAAUACUUAAAUCUGGUUAUGAGUAUUAGCCCUAUUAUAUUAUAUAUAUAGAACUAUCUAGGGUUUUGUGUAUACGGUGAAUCUGUUGACGAUCCCGAAUAGUGUUGGAAUCCGGCGCAUGACAAAAAAGUCUACAGAAGUCAUCAUCAUCUCUUCCUCUUCUUUCUAUUUUCCUCCUGGUUGGGUUCGGCGAAUUGGUUCCUUCGCCAAAUUUGUUUGAAUGAAUCGAUCAUUGGAUCUACUCCUGGUUAAUUGUGGGCCGCUAAGGGGGUGUUUUGUUCCCUGUAUAACCAGUUGAAAAAAAAUUUUCAGACUGAAAAUUUUUUUUUUGUACGUUUUGUUUGGUGUAAAAGGAAAAAUUAUUUUACACAUGUGAAGGAAAACUCAGCUUUUCGUUUCCGCCCCAUCUCCGUGGAAAACGAAAACUGAGAAGAAAUUGUGGUUCAUGCACAGUAAAAGCAUCGCGGUCCACGAGCUUAGGGUGAAAGCUAGUGGACCACGUGAGUGGUCCAUGCCGGACCACACACCCAACUCUCUCUCUCUCUCUCUCUCUCUCUCUCUCUCUCUCUCUCUCUCUCUCUCUCUCUCUCGUGUGUGUAUAAGAGAGAGAGGGGAUAAAGAAUUAUUAUAGGGGAAACUUCAAAUACCCUCCUUUGGUUUCGCACUUUCUCACUUCAGUAUUUUGUGAUUUAAAGUUUAUCAAGUUAGUACCCUGUGGUUUUGCACUUUCUCACUUUAGUACCCUCUGGUUUCAAGUGUAUUAAAUUAGUACCCUGUGGUUUCGCACUUUCUCCCGUUAGUACCAUAUGGUUUAAUAUUUCGUUAAAUUAUAUACCCUAAAAUGGAUAAUAAAAAGAGAAAAUUGAAACCACGCGAUACUAACUUGAUACAAAAAUAAAACCACAGUGUACUAAAGUGAGAAAGUCCGAAACCACAGGGGAGUAUUUGAAGUUUUCCCAUUAUUAUAUAUAUUUUAUAAUUUUUUAUAUAAUGCAUAUAGUAUUAUACACAUACUAUGUAUAUAUUAUAUUAUAUACUCAUAUCAAUUUAUUAUAUAAUAUAAUUUUAAUAUAUUUAAUUUACAAAUAAUAAUAAUAAUAAUAAUAAUAAUAAUAAUAAUAUAUUGUGAUAAUUAUUAUAUAUCAAUAAUAUAUAAUAUAUAGAAUAGAAGAAAAUAUGUAAUAAUUUUUUUAUUUAUCUUUUUCUUAUUUUUUCUUUCAACCAAACAAUCGCGAUGGAAACUAUUUUUUUUUUUCCUACAAAUCAAAUACUAAAGAACGUAAAAUUUCUUUUCCUCCGAAAAAAUUUUUACACCGAAUUUUUUUUUUUACAGUUUUACAUGAAACCAAACGCACCCUAAAAUAAAAGUCUAAAAUGAAUCGAUAACAAGAUCUAGCUCGAGGUGAAUUGUCGGCCACUGAAGUAAAACCUCGAAAUAAAUUGAUUGCCAAGUGUUCGGAGAAAUCAUUCGGCAAACUGAAUGCAAGAGAGCAAAUGGGAGGUUCGCACAAAGAAUUCUGAAUAAGAUUUGAUGGAAAGAAGUUUCGUAUAUUCUUAUUUAGGUUAAUAAAUUUUAUUUCACCUACAUUUCUUUUACAUUUUUUUUUCCUGCUAUUGUGGCUAAAGAUUUUUUUGGAUUUUUACUGCGUUUCCCAACAGCAAUUGAUAAGACCUUGCUAUACUGCCUUCAGUUUCUGGACAUGUAUCUUAAUUUUUCCUUCAUCAAAUGUUAAUAUUGAUGAAAGAUAUGGAUCUUAAGGGCUAUUUAGUUAGAUGUAAUUAAAAAAAAGGAAAAACUUAAAAAAAAAAAAAACCGUGGUUUUGCACUUUUUUAUUUUAGUAUCUUAUGGUUUAAAGUGUAUCAAGUUAGUACCCUGUGAUUUCUUACUUUAUCACUUUAGUACCUUGUGGUUUAAAAACCACAGGGUACUAAUUUGAUACAAAAAUAAAACCACAGCUAUUUACCACAGCUAAAUAGCUGUGGUUUUAUUUUUGUAUCAAGUUAGUACCAUGUGGUUUUUAAACCACAGGGUACUAAAGUGAUAAAGUGAGAAACCACAGGGUACUAAAGUGAUAAAGUGCGAAACCAUAGGGUACUAACUUGAUACACUUUAAACCACAGGAUACUAAAGUGAAAAAGUGCAAAACCACAGGGUACUAACUUGAUACAUUUUAAACCACAGAGUACUAAAGUGAGAAAAAGUAAAACCACAAGGAGGGUAUUUGAAGUUUUCCCUUAAAAAAAUAGGGGGCAUACAGGUUCCUGCAAAUAUAGUGAAUUAUAAGUGUAUCACUAUAAAGUUCAACUUUUAUAUAUUGUCUCUAUAAAAAUUUUAAUAUUUUUAAAUAUAUCCCUCUGAUUUGUUACUAUUAGAGAACUGUUUAUAUUUUAACGGCAAAUAAGUAAAAUGUUAAUUUUGCAAUCACAAAUAUAUAAUAUAAGAGAGAUAAAAAUAUCAAAUUAUUUUAUAAACUAAUGAAGGUUAAGUAUUUAACUUAUGGUUAACUAAAUUUUUCUAACAGAUUCUCACAAUACAGACAUAUUUAAAAAUAUUAGGACUUUUAUAGGAAUAAUAAAUAAAAGUUAGACUUUUUAAGAAUAUAUUUACAAAUAUAUUUACAAUUCAUUAUAUUUAUAAGGACCUGUAUGGCUAUAGAUCAAGUAGUUACAAUUAUAUAUAUAUAUAUAUAUAUAUAUAUAUAUAUAUAUAUAUAUAUAUAUAUAUAGAGAGAGAGAGAGAGAGAGAGAGAGAGAGAGAGAGAGAGAGAGAGAGAGAGAGAGUGAGUGAGUGAGUGAGUGAGUGAGUUGAGCUGAAAUGUUAUUGAUAGCAAACGGGUUUCGUUGCCACCCAUUUGUUUUUAAUGAUCGAGCCUUCAAAUCGACGAUCGACACUGUUGAACAUAAUCUAUACCACUUGAAGUAUCUAGAAACCAAAUUUCAAAUCUUUUCGACAUCAUUGACCUAAUGAUCAAAGGGUUUUAAAUUUUGUAAUUUUAAUGGUAGAUAUGAGAUAUUUUCUCGUUUAACGGUAUAAAACUAUCCAAAUCAAUUGAAUUUUAGUUAGAAAAUUUUUUAAACUAUUUAGAACAAGAUCUAUACUCUUGAUCUUAAUUACAAAAUUUCUAUCAUCACUUUUUAGAGUAUAUUCAUUUUCGACCAUUUAUUUACGCCCACUUAAUGGACAAGAGAACAAUAUCGAAAAGAUUUGAAAUUUAGUUUCUAGUUACUUCAAGUGGUAUAGAUCAUGUACAACGAUGCCGAUCGUCAAUUUGGAGGCUCCAUCAUUGAAAACAAAUGGGUGGCAACGGAGCCCGUUUGCUACCGGUAGUAUUCCAGCUCAACUCUCUCUCUCUCUCUCUCUCUCUCUCUCUCUCUCUUUAUAUAUAUAUAUAUAAAGAGAGAGAGAGCUAGGUUGGUAUACUAUCGGUAGCACGGAGGCCUCCGUGCUACCAAGUUGUUUUCGAUGAUGCGGCUUCCAAAUCGACGAUCGGCUCCGUUAGACUUGCUAUACACUAUUAAAAGUAUUUAAAAACUAAAUUUCAUAAUUUUUCGACAUUAUUUGACUAGUGAUCAAAAGGUUUCAAAAUUGACAAUUUUGAUGGUAGAUGUGAUGCAUUUGUUAAUUUAAUGGUAUAAAAUAAUCUAAAUCUGAUGAAAUUUUUAUAAAUUUUUUUUUUCAAUAUUUAGAAUAAGAUCUUGGCUCGAAAGCCUUGUUCUACAGACAGUAUUGAAUCAUUUCCAGUGAGCUGUGUGAAGCGGAACCACCUCUACUCUUCAGGUUUCUUGCCAACAUCAGAGUCUGAUGAAGAUGUGUCUUCUUAUGCUUUUUUGGAAAACUUCUGUGCCUCUUUUUGUCAUUGUUAUAGUACCUCUGAUCUUAAAUUCAAGUCUUUUAUCAUCAUUUUUUAUGAGAUUUUUAUUUUAAGUCGUUCAUUUUUAGACUACUCAUUUGAUAGGUAAAUGAUGCCGAAAAAUUAUAAAAUUUAGUUUCCAAAUACUUUUAAUAGUGUAGAUCAAGUCUAACGGAGCCGAUCGUCGAUUUGGAAGCCGCAUCAUCGAAAAUAAUUUGGUAGCACGGAGGCCUCUGUGCUACCGAUAGCAUACCAGCCUAGCUCUAAAUAUAUAUAUAUUGUUUAUAUUGAAUGCGGUAGAAAGUGCUGCAAUUAUAAAUAAUUUGUAUAUUUGAAUGUAGUUAAUAAGUGCAUUUAUAAAAUUAUAUUACUUUAUAUAUGUGUUAGAAAGAUUAUGUUUGACAGAAAAAAUUGUUUUCUAUUUAAAAAGUGAUUAGGGAUAUACACUCAAUUUUUGUUUAAAGUUACUCUCCAACUAUUGCAGUUGAAAUUGCAGCAGCAGUUGAAUUCAAACGCAUCAAAUUAAACGUCAAAAUUUAAAUUCGCAUGCAGUUGCAAAUGCAUUUACAGUUAUAAUUAAUUAUAUGCAAUCAAACAGUUCUUUAAUGAAAGGCUUGAAUUUAGAAUGUCUCUUUGCUACUCUGAGAGAAUUUAUAAGUAUUUUACCAGUCAUAUUCAUAGUAGUUGAAGAAAAAGCUAAAAUGGUUUCUUAACCGAGUAUCAAGAACGGAGGCUCAGAGUCAGCAGUCAGCAAGUUGUUUAUGUUAGGCAAAUUAGACUUGGUUUUGUAGUCUUAUAAUCUCAAAAACAAAUAAAAAUUAGGUUAGGACUAUUAUACUUUUAUGAGUAUAAAAUCCUUUGUACUCAUAAGUUUUGACCGUUGAAUGAAGGGAUGUGCGGUUAGGAUGGUAGUGAUCCCCGGUUAGGUUAAUAGUAGUCCCCACUUUUAUGAGUAUAAAAUCCUUCGUACUCAUAAGUUUUGACCGUUGAAUGAAGGGAUGUGCGGUUAGGAUGGUAGUGAUUCCCGGUUAGGUUAAUAGUAGUCCCCUAGGGUUGAGUGGGUGAUUGAUUGAAUAGUAUGAUCUAACGGGUGGAAAUGAUCAAAGGAAUAGAUUUAACGGCCGAAAAUUUAUGAGUAUAAAAAGUAUCAUACUUAUAAGAGUAUAGUAGCCGGACUCUAAAAAUCAAACCAAUUUUGUGGCAAGAUUAUUAAAAUGUUAAACUAGUAAAAUAAUCCCAUUAUUUUGUUCGAAUUAAAUAGAGGGGUAAAUUAACUGAUAUUUUAAUUUGGGCCAUGCUAAUUAUACACUUCAAAAUAAGGGCGUGUUUUGUUCGAAGUCGGAAUCGGAAUCAGAAUCGGAAUUGAAAUAAGCUGGAAUCGCAAUCGAAAUGACUCAUUAUCUAAUUCUGUUUGAUUUAUCAUCUGAUUCGGAUCAGAAUAAAUCAUUCCCAUUGUCGGUGUUCGCUUCAGAUAAAUAUAAAAAAAGUAAUUAUAUUAAUAUAUUAACUUUAUCUUUAUAAUAUAUUAAUUUAAAUUUAAAUUAAAAAAUUAAAUAUUAAAAAUUUACAUCAAAAUUUUGAAAUAAUGUCAAAAUUUUAAAUCUAUUUUUUCUUAAAAAAUAAACUUUGAAGUUGAGUGGAUAAUUCAAAAUAUAAAACUAAAUUUCGAUUUAUUCAAAUUCAAACUUAAAAUUACAAUUUAAAUUUUAAUUUGAAUCCAUAAAUUUAAUUCAAGUUUUAAAUAAAAUUUGAAUAAAAAUUUAUAUAAAUUAAAAUUUAAUUUAAAUUCAAAUUAAUAAGUUAGAUUCGAAAUACUUGAUUAAAUUUUAAUUUUUAAUGCAAGUUCAAAUUAAAAUUUAAAAUUUAAAAUUUAAUUUCUAAAUUUAAUCUCAUAUUUUAAUUAAAAAAGUUGAAAAAAUGAAUUUAAUCCGAAUAAAUAUUCUUUCCGUCCGGAUUCAACUUUCAAUCCGGACUCCUAUACCGAAUUGGAAAAAGAGGUGAUUGGAGGAUUCCUAUUCCACUCGGAAAUCGGAAUCGGAAUGGAACUCCUGCUUAGCAAACACCCACAAACGGAUUCAUCUAUUCCGAUUCCGAUUUCAGGAUGAAAAAGAAGCGAACCAAACACACCCUGUGGUGAGCCUACUCAGAACCCUUCCAUCCUAAAUAUGGCGGAGUGUAUGAUUUUACGCCCCCAAAGAGGGUAUUAGCAUCCCUUUUAAUUUAGUUUUUAUGUUUCUUUGCGAAACUCCAAUAAUUCUAAAUCAAAUAAUAUCGAAGAGCAUGAGCGCCUUAUAUAUGACCAGUAUACUAGUGCUAAUAACUAAAAUUAAGUAUUUUGGGAUAUUGAUUUGAGUCGAAUAAAUUAUUACUGCUAAUUGGCUAAAUUACUUUGUUAAGUCAAUCGAGCUAUUUUAAAUAGUUUGUGCAAAUCAAUAGAUAGUAUGGAUUGAAGUUUAGAUAGUAUCACUGGCCAUACCUAGCACGAUUAGUUAAGAAUUUAUGCAUAACUAGUGUAGUAAUCCGUGCAAUAUAACGGGUAGAAUAAUUAAAAAAAUAAAAAAAUGACGACAAAGGAAGUGAAAACGGUAAUGAAAAAAGCAACGAUGUGGGAUGGGAUUCAUCUUGUUAAUGAAGGAAGGUAACAGCAGAAGGACGAGAAAUAAUUACACCUAAUGCAGAGGUGUGACCCGAUUUGAUUCAAGCAAAAAAGAAAAAAGAAAAUUCCGAUUCGUUUCAAGCAAAAAGAAGAAAAUUUUAGCUGGUUCCGGGUGAAGUCCACACUCGACAGUGAUUAGUUCGGUUCAAGUAAAAAAAAAGAAAAAUACGGUUUAAAGAUGAAAACAUGUGGGGUGUGUUUGGAUUGAAGUCGGAAUCGAUAUCGGAGUCGGAAUGAAAAUAACAUGGAAACGAAAUCGGAAUGAUUUAUUACCUCAUUCUUUUUGGUUCGCCACUUGAAUCGGAAUCGAAAUGAACCGUUUUUAUUGUCGGUGUUUGGUUUAAAUAUAUAUCAGCAACGUAAUCAAAUUAAUAUAUUAAUUUUAUCUUUAUAAUACAUUAGUUUAAAUUCAAACUGAAAAUUAAAUAUUAAAAAUUUACGUCAAAAUUUUAAAAUGAUGUCAAAAUUUUAAAUAUAUUUUUAAAAAAAUUUAAAAUUUGAAAUUUAAUGGAUAAUUCAAAAUAUAAAACUAAAUUUUGAUUUAUGUAAAUUUAAAUUUAAAAUUAUAAUUUCAAUUUCAAUUUCAAUCCAUAAAUUUAAUUUAAAUUUUAAAUAAAAUUUGAAUACAACUUUAGAUUUUAAAUUAAAUUUAAAUUUAAAUUUAUAAAUUAGAUUCGAAAUGCUUGAUUGAAUUUUAAUUUUCAAUUUAAGUUCAAAUUAAAAUUAAAAUUUUUAUAUAUAAUUUUUAAACUUAAACUUAAUAAGUUUUAAUUAAAAAAAGUUUAAAAAGUUAAAUUUAAUCUGAAUAAAUUCAUUCCGCCCGGAUUUAAUUUUCAAUCCAGGCGGAAUGGAAAUCCCGCAUAUCAAAUAUGGACAAAUGGAUUCGUUCAUUCCGAUUCCAAUUUCAUAGUGAAAAAGGGGCGAACCAAACACGCCCGUGGAGUAGUUGGGCCGGUUCGGCCCAAUGUAACAGGUUAAUCUAGUUUGGUUCAAGCAAAGAAAGAGAGAAAUCAAGUUCGAUUCAAGUAAAAAGAAAUAGAGAAAAAUAUAUAAAACACUUGAGCGAGUUUGGAAGAGUCCAAACUCAAUAAUGAUCGGUUCGAUUCUAUUCAAGAAAGAGAAAAAUUCGGCUCAGUUCAAGCAAAAAACAAAAAGAAGCGGAGAACUUGAGCCUGUUCAAGGUGAAACUCAUAUUCAAUUAUGAAAGAAAUGUUGUCAUGCUGCAAUUUUAAGACGAAUAAUGUAUAAAUAAAGAUAUAUAUAUAGAUAUUCAAAAUUUCACGAUCGAAAUCUAAUUUUUUUUAUAUUUCUAGCUGAUUUCUCUAAAAACAAAUGAAAUGCUUAGUUUGUAGAAUGUAUAGAUCAAUAACUUUUCCUCUAGAAUAUAGGAGUUAGAGCAAAAUGAAACACUUCCAAAAAUUUAAGACAUCAAGACAUCAAAUGCACAGCAUAAAAAAUUUAGAUACGAAAAUAAAUUUUGGCUAGAAAUGGUGCAAUAAGUAGCCAAAAUUGGAGCAUAACACUUACAUAUUUUAAAUAAUUUAUAUAUUAAAAAAAUAAUUUUAUGUCAAAAUUUUUAUUUUUUUUAAUUUUGAAAAAUAGAUAGCACGCUACCCGCUUCGCUUAUUUCAUUUAGAAUAAACUUAGCUGAAAAUGUGAAUCAACUAGAAUUCGAACUUGGGUCUCGGGUACCAACCAUCAACCUUUUUGCCACUUGUUUUAAGGAUGGUCAGUAAAGUUUUAAUUUUAAUUACAUAAAUUGGAGACAAUUUUUAUGACUAGUAGUACAAUCCAGCCUAGUGUGAUACAUUAACACCCCCUACGCACCUUGAAUUUGUGGUGGCCACUACUAAGAACCUACAUACAUACAUAUAUAUAUAUAUAUAUAUAUAUAUAUAUAUAUAUAUAUAUAUAUAUAUAUAUAUAUCGCGGCAAACAUACCUCCUAGUGAAAUAUAUUUUAGAUCCAACACAUUAUUCCUAUAUCUCCAUACAUUUUCGUAAUUUUUUUUUUGUUUUACUAUCAUAAUAAAAAAUUAAUUAAUUAAUUGAUAAAUAAGAGAUUAAUACCGAAAGUGUUCCUACAAAAAUAUAUUUCACCAAAGCUUUUUUACUGACUAAAUAUAUUUCUUUCUGCCAGUUUAUAUUUAAUAUAAUAUAUUAUAUUACAUUUUACACGAUCCUAAAAAUUUUUUUUAAAAAAAGGUUAACAUUUGUAAUUUAAACUUUUGAAGAAUGUCUGUGAAAUUAGCCGCAUAUAAAUGACUCCACAAAUUUAUUCUUUUUAUAAAUUUUAUUACAAUUUCCGAUUUUGUUCUGAAAAUGAAAUAUGUAAUGUAAUGUAACUCUCUCUCUCUCUCCUGCCCCCUCACGCUACCAAACGAUCUCAUCUCACUUCUCUUUCUGUCACGUUAAUCAUACAUACUAUAUAUACUUACAUAUUCCUAUUAAUAUUAAUAUAUAUAUAUAUAUAUAUAUAUAUUUAUCUUCGACUCUUCCAUUUCCUUCUUAUUAUAGAUAUAGAUUAGGAGAAAGAGAAAUAUAGAUAUAGAUAUAGAUUAGGAGAAAGAGAAAAAGAAGAGGUAAUAAGGAGAAGAGAGAGAGAGAGGAUCCGAUGAGCCCCUCUCUUCGUUCGUUUUCGAUUCUCAUGUAUUGAGGAGAUAGACGAUUCUUUGGAUUUCGUGUUGGGAAUCGCCUCAGAUCGGUAGGUAAGUGGGGCGAUGUGUGAAUUGUGCUCUCUCUGGAUGUUAUUUGUGAUUUUGGGUUGUUGGGUUUUCAAUUUUAUUGAUUUGUGACGGAUCGGUGGUUCGUUGAUUGGUUGUGACGGAUCCCAUUUCGUUUUUGCUGGAUUUUUUGUUGGAUUUUUGGGGUUUUUUUUUUUGGUUUUUGAGCGAUCUGUAUUGGAUUCAGCUGGUUUUUGUUAUCUGAUUAGAUCUGGUGUUGAUCAGGUGGUGUCCUCUCUCUUCGCAAGCUGAUGCAUUGGAUACUGAAAAAAUUGGAUUUUGAUUCAUGGCUCUUCGUUAUUUUGCUUCGGUGUUGUUGUUUUAGAUCGGAUCUGAUUGAUAGCAGUGGUUUUGAUUGAAGUUGGGUUGUGUCAUGUGUUACCUUGAUUGUUAAACUGUGUAGUUAUUGUGAAUUCAAUUGUGGAACUGCAGGGGGAGGAGAAUGGAGACCGAUCAUGGCAAGCUAUUUAUCGGGGGCAUCUCCUGGGAGACGAAUGAGGACCGCCUUCGCGAGUACUUCCAGAGCUUCGGUGAGGUGGUGGAAGCCGUCAUCAUGCGGGACCGAACCACCGGCCGCGCUCGCGGUUUCGGCUUCAUCGUGUUUGCUGAUCCGUCCGUCGCAGAGAGAGUCGUCAUGGAGAAGCAUAUGAUCGACGGUCGCAUGGUAAUUUCCCUCUCCGAUGGGCUUUGUAUGUAUAAAUGUUUUGGUUUGAGCAUUUAGGCAUUGCCAUUGCUAAAGAAUUGUGAGUAUUGAAUGACCAGCUGAUGAUCUUCUCAGGUGGAGGCCAAAAAAGCUAUUCCUCGGGACGAUAAUCAGGCCCUUAACAAGAGCAACGGUAGCAUCCACGGUUCUUCUCCCAGCCCGGGCCGCACCAAGAAGAUAUUUGUGGGAGGCCUGCCGUCCACCGUGACCGAGGCCGACUUCAAGCAGUACUUUGAUCAGUUCGGGACCAUCGUCGAUGUUGUCGUGAUGUACGAUCACAACACGCAGAGGCCGAGGGGCUUUGGGUUCAUCACAUUUGACUCGGAGGAUGCCGUGGAUCGGGCACUGCUCAAAACCUUUCAUGAGCUGAAUGGUAAGAUGGUCGAGGUGAAGAGGGCUGUGCCGAAAGAAUUAUCCCCCGGGGUCAACACGCGCUCUCCUAAUGUGGGUUAUAACUAUAACUAUGGUAUGAGUAGGGGUAAUAGCUUUCUUACUGGAUACAACCAGGGGCUCAGUCCGAGCUCUAUAGGAGGUUAUGGAAUGAGGAUGGACGGCAGACUUGGGCUGCUAGCUGGCGCGCGCAGUAAUGGUUACUCUUUGUUUGGCCCUGGAUACGGAAUUGGAAUGAAUUUUGAGCCUGGAAUAAAUCCAAGUUUUGAUAGAAGCAGAAACUUUAAUAAUAACCUUAAUUAUGGGCAGCAAUUGAACCCUUAUUAUGGUGCGAGUUCAAGUAGGUUUAAUAGUAAUAGUGGCUACAGUGGGGGUAGUGAUAUUACCGGGUCGAUGUUUUCUUCAGUGGCUCGUAAUAUAUGGAGUGAUGGCAGUCUUAACUAUACUACCAACUCUUCCAAUUCCUUUACACCAUCUGGAAGUGGAAAUAUAGGUAGAUUUGUAAAUAACAGUGCAAACUGGGAGAGUCGGAUCUCUUCUCAUGGGCUGGGGGGUUACGGAGUUGGGGAGAAUAGGUCCGGUCUUGAUGCCACUAACUAUGGAAUGAAUAGUGGGAGUGGCGCUGUUAAUACUUCUUUCAAUCUAUCAGGCAAUGGCAAUGCAGAUUCCUAUGGUGGUAGCAGCUCAAUUUAUGGGGAUACAACCUGGAGAUCUGCAUCGUCUGAGCUUGAUGGGUCUGCUCCAUUUGGUUAUCGGCUUGGCAAUUAGUAAGCUAGAAAAUAGAGGUGAGAGGUUACCUACAUUUCAUCCUAUGCCCUGUUAGUUACAAUAUUGAUUUCACUUUGAGAAAGUAUUUUGAAUAAUUAAAGCACUUGUGUUUGUUUGGGUGGCUAAAAUUUUAAGGUAAUCAAAAUUAUAGAGUUUCCGGCAUUUCAGUUGACCUAUGUGAAUUCUUCUACUAAAGGAAACCAAUUUUGCAUGUGGAUUGGUAGUUUCCAUAUUUCAAACUCAUCACAUAGGUCUCAUUUGAAUGUUACAUGUUUAAAAUGGACGUGCAUGAAAUCAUGAAGAUAGGCUUCUCAAUAUAGGUCUCUUUGUUCUUGAUUUUCUAGUAUUAUUCUUUUUAUUUUGACCAAGUUCUCUCGCGUUUAUUCUAAUUUGUUUCAUCUGUUGUUAACUUAUUCGGUUCUUCUAUAUCUCAUAUAGCUAUUUGAUUCAUUCUUCGCUAAUCUUUUUUUUUACCUAUGCUACAAACUUGUUUAUACUAAUUACUUUUCCAGCAUAUAUAUAUUCAACUUUUGGAUGCAUGCCAUUUACUGGGCCUAAUUAUGUACUACUUUGUUAUGCACUACAAAUAAAACUAGCAAAACAAAGGGAAUAAAUUGAUUUGAAACUAAUAGUUCAAUCUUUUAAUGCAUCAUAACUCACUUAGGCUUUUGGUAAUGGUCACUGAAAAAUGCCUCUAUAUAUGUCAAAUGAUUGUUUAUGCCUUCAAUGUGAAUCGAAGAAAUGUAAAAGAAAUCAGUAGGGUUGCGACAGGAUAGCUUUACAGUGAAGAAUGCACCAUCUAUUUUAGACUAGUCUAUUGGUUUUACUAGAGCAUGAAAACAAAUUAAAUACUUUGGCAAAUUUCUGUUGCCCUUGACAUAUAUAUAUUACAAGAGAAAUUUCAAUUGACCAAUGAUUAGUGAUGUAAUUUGGUAAUGUUUUAGUCCUAUCACAUAAAAGUUGAACAAAUAAAAAUUUAUUUCACAUAAAUUGGUUGGUGUGAAUAUUUUUUGUUUCGGCACUUGGGGCUUGAGUUGCAUUCAAGUAAGAUAUACUGGGGUACUUGCUUCAAAUGAGAUGACAUCCAAAUUUUCUUUUGGCUCUUGCUAAGAAAUUGUGUUGAUAGCAGCGUGUCUGUAUGUUCUUGUCGUGAACCUAAUGUUAAUAUAACCGCUUGUUUCCUGUCUUGCACUACGUCACCCUGCCUAUAUUACAUAUCAAGUAAUUAAGUGUGCUAAAUAUAUGAUAUAGAAUUCCAAAUGAUAUACAACUGUUCAGGUGCCAAACAUGUUCCUUGUUUCUUGAAAAUAUCUUUGUUGACAUAGUUUAUCUUCUUUCCACUUAAUUGCCUCUCCGCAUCAUUCGUACUCUAUGUAAUAUGAAUUCAUCAAGCAUAUGUUGACUGAGCAAUCCAUGCUAGAAAAAGUUUGCUUUCUGUUGGGAUAGAGACUCAAGGAUGUCUCUGUUGGAUCUCUAGUCACCACCAUUCUAGGCCAUGCAAGGUUAUUGCCAUUUUAGGGAGCAAGGAGUAAUUUAUUUAUUCUUUUGCACUAUAUUGAACGAUGUACUACUAAAAGCAUAACUUUAACAUUAUUUACUAGGUGAAAACUGCAAUUUUUCUUUCUGUUGGUUUUCAAAUGAAAAAAUAUUUGACGAAAAUAAAAAGAAAAUCUGAAGAAAGAUUUUGUUAGUUUGCUUUCCCAGAUUUAUGUUUUAGAAUUUUUUUUUUCUCCUUCGAUUGAAAGGAUAAUUACUUUUGACUGCUAUCUGAUAAACCUCAAAGGCUAUACAUGCAAGAAAUGUACAUAGGAAAGCAUCUAUGACAAUGUUAAGCAGAUAUAAUACGUUAUGCAAAACUACCUUUUGAAGAAUGAUUGAAAUGAUUGUGUUGGAAAAAGAGAAGAAAGUAGAAAAACACAUGCUGAUGGGAUUGUAGCUUGUUUGAGGUCCUUUUCUCAUCAAAUCACCUUCAUUUUCUUCUCUCCCAUGCUUCUUCAUCAACUUGAAAAGCCUUCGGGAAGUUUAACAACUCAGAAAGAUGUAGGAAAAUUAAUGCUUCACUACCAUUAUAUGGAACAACAGCUGGUGCAGUUUGUACUAUGCCAAGACAUCCCAUUUGAUAUCUCACACGGCGAUAUAACUGCAGUUCAAAUCAUAUAGACUGAUAUGAGUCACUAUGGUCAAUACAUUGACCUAAUUAGUACUUGGCUGAUGCUUUAUCUACUGACUGGUUUAGUGCGAUACAGAUGAUGCACCCACCACUCGGUGGCCUUUAAGAUCUUAAAGUGCUAUCUUGUUUGAAGCUGCCAUUCUAAUACAACUGUUACUUGUGUUGCCAUACUAUCUACAACUGUUACUUGUUUGGAUGGCUUAGGACAAAGAACUUUUGUUAAGUAUGUGAUAUUGUCGGAUUGGUAGUCUAUCAAAAGUAAGUGGUUAAGCUGUGUUGUAUAUAUGUCAAUAAUGGUAGUCAUUAAUGAUAAAAAUUUGACAGUAUAGUUAUUGAGGACAUAAAUGGCAGAAAAACCAAAGAUUCCUAUAGCUAAUAAAACAAUAACCAGACAAUAACCAGCAGUAGGCAAAUGGAGCAUAAAAUUUACGCUAAAUUACAAAACCCCCUUGCACUUCAUAUGGUGUUCUCCUUGCAUUUUCUUUUUGCUUUAAUUUUCACCCUGCACUUUGCACGAUGCCUUGAUUACCCUCUUACAUUUGUCUUCCUUUUCUUUUCACUGUCUCUCUCUCUCUCUCUCUCUCUCUCUCUCUCUCUCUCUCUCUUUUUCUGUGUUCUUUUCUUCCUUUGCCAUCCUGCACUUCGACACAUUCUUAAAUAGCCCCUUUCAUUGCACAGAGGUGGAAGAAGUACCUAACUAAAGAAGAGCAAUUCCUGUUUUUCUUCUAUCCUUUACUCCCUAGCUCUAUAUUUGACCAGGAAUCCUCGAAUUAUUCCGACCUAUGCUUUUAAGUGCAUUCCCUGUCCACUGGCUUCAGUAUGUAAAAUUUGGAGGCCUGAAUUCAUGGUCAUGAACCAAGAAUGCCUCCUUUUUUCUGAAAUAUUCUCAGUAGAAACUUUAGUUUACCUUCAAAAAUUCCUAGAAAUUGCAUAUUACUAUUUUUCAUGCUUUAAAACAGUGAGCUGAGAGUCUCACCUCUUCAGUAAUACUAGUAGUUUUCAUUUACUCAGGUAUUGUGCUUGUUGUGUGUAUUUUUGGAGUAAUAGAAACAGCCAUUAGGUCAUUGUACGCAAUGUAUAUGUCCUUUCUAAUGUUUACUUGGGUUUAAAUGUUUCCAUUUUCUAUUGCUUGCCCUUCUAAAAGUAUGAGGUCAUUUCAAUCUUAUGAUUUUUAAUUUAAUUGUACGUAAUUAUGUUGCCAUACUUUGCUUUUACUAUUGUUAUCCUUCUUUCAGCUACUCGUCUCUUAUAUUGUAUGUAUACUAUUGUAACAAAAUUUCAGUGGCCUAGCAAUCAGUUAAAAGGUGCAGGACCUAAUUGACCGAAUCCACAGGAGUUGACCGUUUAGCAGAGAUUGCAAUGAAGGUCAUCACACUAUUGAACAUUUCACUGUUGGGAUUUUACGUACAUUUCACCUUUUAUGCACGCGUAGCUUUUUAGAAUGAAAAUGGACAGUAUGCACUUACUGACGGAAGACCAUGUUUGACUUCUUAGUAUAUGUAUAAAUGCACACUAAGUUUCUACAUGUACAACGAUGCGUGUUUGCACUGUUAUAGUCCCAACAAGAAAAUGAACGGUCACUAAUAGUUGAAAUUGUUAGAUUACCUUGCGUUAGUGGCCACAACCAAGGAGUUGCUGAACUUCAAUUUGCAGCAUUUAUUUGUCAUUUAUGAUUUUAUUGCAAUCAACUGGAGAUCUUGUAGAAGCCCAUGACAAUUUCCAGCUCUAUUUAAUAUCUGUUCUCUUUCUCUUUCUUUCUUUCUUUCUUUCUUCAAAAGUAGCUUAAUACAACUGUCAUUGAUCUUUGGUUUUCAUGAUCUUACAUGGCACAGGUAUUGCUUCCUAGGGGAAUAUUCUUUUACUACAGAGUUUUCCAUAGUUGAAGAAAUCCAGCAAAUCGGGUGAGUAUUGUGGAUUAUUUAGGCUAAUCAGAGAGUUGGUUUGUAAAACUUGAGUUUCAGACGACUCGAAACAUUUAGGAUUUUGCUAUAGAAGUUUGAGAAUUUACUACAAUGAGUAGGUUGUUGUUUUGUUUUUCUGAUUGUGACGUGAAAUUAGAUUGCGGGAUAUAUAAAGAUGAGUGUUCAAUAUAUUCCGGCAUCACGCCAUAUAGUCUCAUUUAUACCACAAAAAAAAAAAAAAAGAAAAAAAAAUCGGCUGUAAUAUCUAGCAUUUCGCUAGUUGUUGUCGGGACAUUCAUUUUUUUUUUUUACCCCUUUUACUUCCUGUGUUUUGUUAGUGCAGAUGUAACAGAGAUCUGAUUGUUUUACCAGUGAAACUUUUCUGGGAUACCAUCUGUUUAUCCAAUAAUACAGCUCCAACUCAUUGUGAUUCAUUACCAUUAAUAAAAUUUGCUUUUUGUUAACUUUUUUGUUUUUAAAACACUUUUUUUUUUAUUUUAUACUGUAGAUACAUAUGGGUCAUGUGGAUGCAUUAUUUCUCCACUUUCAUGUAGCUGCUUUAGAUCCCAGCAUGUGUUCAGCUGCCUUCACAUUGCAUCUGACUGGGGGAUGUACCUCCUUUUAAUUUCCAUCCACAUUUUUUUGUGUCCACUGUGUCCUGCUGUCUAAAGUAUAAAUAUAUGGCUGUACUUGUGAUUUUUGUGUAAGUAGCAGUGUAAGUGCCUGAACUUUUUACGGGGCGUUUGGAUGGACGAAUCUGUAGAUCCAACGUAAGUCAAAUAUAGUGGUGUUUGAGUUUUCCUGAAGUGUGAUUAUUUUUUUGUUGUUUGUUUUGACGUAAUCCGUAAAAUUCAAUUACUUCUUCUGUUUGUUUUGAUGUAACUUGAUGCGGGUAAAAUUAGUUUAUCUCCUAAAUAUAGUAGUAAAUUUACCACUAUAAAAUUUAACCUAUUAUAUAAUUAAAAUUUUUAUUAUUAUUUAAAGGUAAUCCUAAUUUAUUAUAAAUAAGGUAAUUCUAACUCAUUAUAAAGAAAGUAGAGUUUAGAUUUUACUAUUUAAUUAAUUUUUUAGAAAAAGUUGAGUGUGGUGGAAGUCGAGUUUGGCAUUUUAGAGGAUUAAGUCGAGAGUAGGUGAAGUGGAGCUCUAACAUAACUUGAGUUAUAUUAUAUUUUUUACUUACACCAAAACAAAUAACGGAAGUGAUGGAACUUGAGUUCCAUCACUCCAUUUGCAUCAAAACAAACCGGCCCUAUUAGUCGAUGUGCACUUUAAGUGUUCAAAAUUUGGAAGUUAAAUUCAUAUUUGACACUCCAAACUUUUCGAAAUUUCUUAAUUUGGAUGCUUACACUGUCAGAGAAUAAUUACUGUCCGCAGAUGGUGCAUUUAUUUAUAUAAGCACUGUAAAUUUAUCGGUCCUUUUAUCCAUCUCGUACUUUUAAUUUUUGCCCAAAUUCUAAGUAAAAUAAAAGCAAUUUCUUUUGUACUAGUAAAUAAGGCUAGGAACUAAAGGGAAAGAUUUUCGAAAAUUUGAGACAUUGGAAGCCCAACUCAAAAGUUUAAGGGCCCAAAGUGAAACUUAGUCUUAAAGGUUGGGACUAAUAAUGCAAUUUAGUCUUAAGAUAUAUUUUUUUAAAGAAAAAUUUAAUGCACCUUCCAAAUUGGGGGUAUACAAAGCUAGGCGCUAUUUAGCAUACAAUAUAAUUGAAAGGGUUAAUUGCUUACAGGUCCCCGCAAAUAUAGUGAAUUACAAAUAUAUUCAUAUAAAAUUCAACUUUUACAAGUUAUCACUAUAAAAGUUCUAAUAUAUUUAGAUAUGUCCUAUGGUUAGAAUCUGUUAGAGAACUGUUUAUUUUUUAACAGUAGGCUCAUGAAAUGACAUUUUUGUUCUCACAAAUUGUCCCUCCAAAACAAUUUUUGCCCUUUCCUCUUUCUCUUCCUUUUCAAGUUGCGGGAGCGGGUGGCGGUGGCAGCGCGGAGCUUGUCGGAGUUGCGGCCGACGAGGACAAGGUUGAGGCACGCUGCGGCGAGGCGAAAGGCGAAGGUGCAGCCGAUUCGAAAGCACUCGUGAUGAUGGCCCACGCGAGCACGACGAUCGAAUCAUUGACGACGACGACGAAGGAGGAGAAAAUGAGGAGGAAAAAAUAGGAUACGAAGAAGAAGAGGGAGGCGGCGGAGGCUGUUGUCCAGCCUCCGCCGCACUGAUCUCGGCCGGAGACGCCGCCGAGGAUGGCGAAGUCGACGCCGAUCUCCUACGAGGAGCACCGCCCGAUCUCCCACGAGGAGCACCAUCGACGUGGCCUCCAUCGGCCGCUUCCUCUACGACCGCGGCUCCUCCUUCUCCGUCACGAUCGCCUGCCGCAAGAGGGAGAGGAAGAAAACGAGGGGUAAAAUUGUCAAUUCACUUUAUUAGUUAAUUAUGGUUAAGUAUUUUAAUCAUGGUUAACUAAAUUUCUUUAACGGAUACUAACGGCGGGAAUAUAUCUGAAUACAUUAGGACUUUUGUAAGGAUAACUUAUAAAAGUUGAACUUUGUAGAAAUAUAUCUGCAAUUCACUAUGUUUGUGGGGACCUAUAUGAAAUUAACCCUAAUUGAAAUUAGAUAACAGGAAAACUUAAACAGUUUUAAAGACUCAUGCAGUAAGAAAGUACUAUGGAAAAAUACUCUGUUUGUUUCCGUUCGUAAUAUUACGUUCCGAAUAUCGCGAUCCGUACGUAAUAUUACGUUCCGAAUAUCGCGAUUAGUCGAUUACCAUAUAUAUUCUACAGUUCUACCGGAGAACGCAGAAGCAUAUCCCUAUACGCUUUUACUCUAACUUCAUUUUAUUUAAUAGCGUUAAAUAGGCCUAAAUACCAAACUAAGUUUUAGUAUCAAGGCCGUUUUAUACUAUCGGCGGAGAAGGAGUUGGAAGGGAGGUAUAUAGGAAUGUGCUUUUUCAUUUUGUUUCUAUUUUGGGGGUGAGAAUCCUAAAAUUAUAUUUUACUAUUGAACUUACUAUGAUAUAUGUGUGACAUAACCAUUUCUAGUAAAAUGAUUAUUUUUUUAUCAUCAUUUUUAGUGAACGUAAUACAAUUUUUCUACCAUUCCAAACAGAGGAUAAAAUAUCUUGGAGAACAAACAUAAAUUUCUACCAUUCCAAACAUAGGAUAAAAUAUCUUGGAGAACAAACAUAAAUUAAAGAUGAUUCGUAGUUUAGUGCGUGAAAAAAUGUUUGAUUUGAGAAUGAGGAGAGAGAUAGGGAACUGGUGAUGGACCACUCUGCUAUUCUUCCAAACACAAUAUUGAGAUAAACUCUUUAUCUCUUCUUAUAGAUUUGAGUGGGGAUGCAUGCCAUCCUCUUAUUCCAAAAAAUUAACAAUUCCAUGGGUGGUGGUGGUGGAGGAGGAGAUACAAAGUCCUCAUCAAAAGCUUCUUGUCCUCUUUGAAAAUUAAUUGUGAAUGGAAUGAAUGGAACAUGGAUAUGGAUAUACAUACAUCAAGGAGGGCUUCCAAGUGACUCCCAAAUCCAGUAUUUAACACUCGGGUUGAAAUUCUUUAAUCUAAACACAACUUAAGAACAAUAUUUACCGGCGGAAUAUCUGUUUCGUAGAAGUUGCUCAAUUUAUCAGCUUAAUUGGCUCCGAUAAGAAUCAAAUACGUUAGGCCAGAGCAUUGAGAUAAUUCAAUUGAGCCAAAAAUUUUUAUAUCUUAUAUCUAUAUCUAUAUCUAUAUCUAUAUCUAUACUAUACAUAAAAUCGUAUAGAAUUUCCGACGAUGACAGACGGAAUUCAAAAAAGAAUAAAAUAAUAUUUCCUACGAAUGGUUAUGAUUAAUUUGUUAAAAAUAUCUCAAAUAAAAAUUAACGGUUAUGAUCAAUCUAUUAAAUUUCUACUACAUAUAAAAAUCUAUUCCCUAUAAAUGGUUAUGAUCAAUUUGUUAAAAAAAUAUCUCAAAUAAGAACAGUGAUAAUCAAUCUAUUAAAAAUAGCAUUCGCAUCCAUCUAUAAAUUCAAUCCUAUGAACGAUUAUAAUCAAUUUGUUAAAAAAUAUCUCAAAUAAAAAACAAACAGUUAUGAUCAAUUUGUUAAAAAAUAGCAUUCGUAUCCAUCUAUAAAUUCAAUCCUAUAAACGAUUAUAAUCAAAUUGUUAAAAAAUAUCUCAAAUUAAAACAAACAGUUAUGAUCAAUCUAUUAAAUUUCUACUACAUAUAAAAAUCUAUUCCCUAUAAAUGGUUAUGAUCAAUUUGUUAAAAAAAUAUCUCAAAUAAAAACAGUUAUAAUCAAUCUAUUAAAAAUAGCAUUCGCAUCCAUCUAUAAAUUCAAUCCUAUAAACGAUUAUAAUCAAAUUGUUAAAAAAUAUCUCAAAUUAAAACAAACAGUUAUGAUCAAUUUGUUAAAAAAUAGCAUUUCUAUUAAUCUAUUUUAUAUUGAAAUUAAAAUUUGAGUUUAAAUUAUGAAUUAAAUUUAACUUUUGAUAUCAAAUUUGAAUUAAUAAUUAAUUUUUUUUAUUACAGUGGAUCAAAAUUAAAUUUUAAAUUUUAAAUUAAAUGUGAAUUAAAUUUUGAUACUUUUAGUUUAAAAUACAUAUUAAAAUUUGAUUCAUCAAAAAUUAAAUAGUAUAUAAAAAUGUUCGAUGUAUAUUAAUAAAAGAACACAGUAGGAUAUUAUAAAUAUUUUCUAAUAAAAUAUAACACAUUAAUUUAUAAAUAUAAUUUUUAUUGUGAAAUUUUGAAUAUAUAUAAUGUACAAAUUUAUAUUAAAUUUUAAUAAAUUAUAAUAAUUGUUACGUGUAUUUGCACGUAAAUUCAACUAGUAUAUAUAUAUAUAUAUAUUAUAAAUAUCAUAUUAUAUAUAUUAUAUAUAUAUAUAGUAGUUAUAUAUAUAUACUUAUAGAGUGCGAGGCCUCACCUAAAGAUUUGGCCAUCGGCAGGACGGAGGCGCUUCCGGGCUCCCAGCUCGUUUUCGAUUGUUCGUACUUCGAAUCGUCGAUCGAGCCUCCAGUUAAACUUGAUCAGAGUAUUUAAAGUACCGUAGAAAAUAAUAAUUUUAUGAUUGUAACGAUAUCAUUUGCCUUAGCUGAAAAACAAAGGCUCAAAAUCAACGGGCUGAAAUAAAAAAUGUGUGACAAAAUGUAAUAAUAUGAACAUUAAAAUUUAAAUCAAGAGUAUUGAUCCUUGUUUUAUAUAGUAAUAAAAGAAUUUUCUAAUCAAAUUCACUGUGAUUUGGAUAUUUCUAAGGAGAGCAGCCGCUAAACUGCAAACAGGCUCCACACGAGCCAUUAAAAAUUUGUUGAUUUGAACGCCGCAUGUGAUCACUAGAGGAGUAAAAAAAAAAAAUGAUAUCCCGAAAAAUAUAAAAUUUAUUUCUAGUACCUCGGGCGGAUCCAAUCACUCUAGAUCAAGUUAACCGAAGCGACGAGCGAUUCGAAAGUCGCACAUGGAAGAACGAGCUGGAAGCACGAAGCUCUGGCUUCGAUAAGCAAGUGUUAAGCCUCACUCCACGGUUAUAUAUAUAGUAUAUCUAUUAUAUAUAGGACCGGUUGGGUACUACGGUGAGCACCAAAGGGAUUUGGUGGCUAACUCGGAGUUUUUCACCGGUAGAUUUAACGCUUCGAUUAUUUUUAUCCGUAAUUAUAUUAUUUAACGCAAACCUCACUUAACCUAGAGGGCCGCAAUAUUAUUAUAUACCAUGCCAUAUUUUCAAUCUAAAGAAUAAAAAAUCAAUACACCAAUAUUAUAUAUAUUCAGAGCUAUAUAUAUAUAGUAUAGUAUUAUUAUAUAUAUACUAAAUAUAUUAUAUAUAGAGUAUAUAUUUAAAUGGGAAAAGGGGUGUCGCGCAUUGCUGCGUCGGGAAUGCCGGACCACAAACGUCCGCAAAUGGACACGCGUAUGUCUAAUACGAAUAUGUGAGAGAUUUAUAGCUGCCUUUGUAAUACAUCGGCGAGAAAUAAAAAUAAAAUUAUAAGCCUUAAAAUUAGAAGGCCUAUAAUACUACACCACGUGCACAUCCAGGCUUUCUUGGUGCAAUUAAUUAAUUAAUUAAUUAUUAUCUCUCAUUGUACCAACAAAAAUUAAUU
rnacentral:lncRNA from 1 species